CUCCUCCUCCGAGCUGCUCUUGGUUCACCCUCCCCAUAAACACCCACUCUGCUGCAGGAAUUGCAGUUUGCAAGCUGAGAGUCUCUCACGGCAGACAGAGGACAAGCUAAGCAGGGAAAGCAGGAUGGGAUUUAAGACUCUGAAAUUCAAUGUCUGUUUUCCCAGGUUUCUGACUUCCCCUAGUAUGGAAGCCAAACAAAGCAUCAUCGGGCAUCUUGAUAAAGGCAAUUGAUCUCACCAAUUUGCCUUUAAACCAAAUAUGUUGAUGAAAUGGCCACCUAACUUCAUUUUGAUGUGAAGCUCACCUGAAAUUCAUCUCACAGCCCUUCCAGUUACAGAAGCACCACGUGAUGUAAGUUUCUCCUGGGUUCUGAAAACUGGGAGGCUGGCAUUGAGCUCUGUGGUUUGUUGGGCUUUGCUAUGACAAAUGUUUUAGUCGUGCUAGCCCCAAAUUAAAGGAUGAUGCCGAAAAUCCUUGCUCAUUUGGAAAAAUGUUGGAACAAGAAUUUGAAGACGAUGACUCCCUGAAUUCUCCAGGAAAUGACAUCAUCCAGCUCAAACAAACAGCACUUUUCAGAGAGCACUAGUCAGAAGCACAAGCUGUUCUACGUGCCUGGAACUCACCAGGCUGGAGUUCUGGGAAGGGAUCUACUGUAAGUUAUAGCACGGAGGGCGGCUAAGGAAUUUGAGGAUGAAGGUCUUCUUGAACGGUUACCUAACUCGUUUCCUCAGUCUCACGCCUUUCUAUUGACAACUUAUCCCUGUCUGACACCUUUCCAUUGUAUUUUCAAAUAUUUUUACCAAGUAAAAUCUGUUUUCCAUAGUU
rnacentral:lncRNA from 1 species